AUUUUGAGUGGGUGUAGAUAGUAGUACCAAAACAUUGAAGAUGGUUUUCUCAAAACAUACUGUAGGUUCUAAAUCCUAAUCCCUGGACAGAGGAAUAGACACUCAUUCUACCCCAAUAAGAACAAGCCACGGGAGAACUAAUUUCUUCCUAGUCUUCAGAGACUAAAGAAACAUAGGACGUGCAGCAAUGAAGGAACCAAACUACUCUUUUCCUGAUCCCAUAAGUUUUCACUUUUCUGGAGAUGCAUCUGUGGGGAGCGUUACCUGGCUGUUGUCCAGCCUGUAGUCUUCCUCAAGUACAGACUCCUAAGGCACAGGGUGGCAUCUGUGGGGAGUGUUACCUGGCUGUUGUCCAGCCUGUAGUCUUCCUCAAGUACAGACUCCUAAAGCACAGGGUGGCAUCUGUGGGGAGUGUUACCUGGCUGUUGUCCAGCCUGUAGUCUUCCUCAAGUACAGACUCCUAAGGCACAGGGUGGCAUCUGUGGGGAGCGUUACCUGGCUGUUGUCCAGCCUGUAGUCUUCCUCAAGUACAGACUCCUAAGGCACAGGGUGGCAUCUGUGGGGAGCAUUACCUGGCUGUUGUCCAGCCUGUAGUCUUCCUCAAGUACAGACUCCUAAAGCACAGGGUGGCAUGUGUGAUCAUAGCACGGUUGCUGACACUUUGCCUCCUUGUGUCAAAGGGCGCUACCGGUGACGGCAUCAAAUUCAGUGCCUGUAUCUUCACCCCGGUUCUGUCUAUCAACAUGUUCUGCAGUGUCUUCUUACUGAGGGUGCUGAGCAGGUCCAGUCCAGGGGAUGAAGAGAAUGAGAGAGGGUGAAACAGAGGAGAGGGAGGGAAACUGAGGAAGAGAAGAGCCUCCUGUUCCAUCCAGAUCAUCCUGCGGAUCUUGAUGCUGAACUACUCUCCUAUCAUUGGGGAAAUCCUUCAGGAUCAUAUUU